CCUACGGGGGGCAGCAGUGGGGGAUAUUGCACAAUGGGGGGAACCCUGAUGCAGCGACGCCGCGUGGGUGAAGAAGCGCCUCGGCGCGUAAAGCCCUGUCAGCAGGGAAGAAAAUGACGGUACCUGAAGAAGAAGCCACGGCUAACUACGUGCCAGCAGCCGCGGGAAUACGGAGGGGGCAAGCGUUAUCCGGAUUUACUGGGUGUAAAGGGGGCGCAGACGGCGAUGCAAGCCAGGAGUGAAAGCCCGGGGCCCAACCCCGGGACUGCUCUUGGAACUGCGUGGCUGGAGUGCAGGAGGGGCAGGCGGAAUUCCUGGUGUAGCGGUGAAAUGCGUAGAUAUCAGGAGGAACACCGGUGGCGAAGGCGGCCUGCUGGACUGCAACUGACGUUGAGGCCCGAAAGCGUGGGGAGCAAACAGGAUUAGAUACCCGAGUAGUC
rnacentral:rRNA from 1 species